UACGUAGGGUGCAAGCGUUGUCCGGAAUUAUUGGGCGUAAAGAGCUCGUAGGCGGUUUGUCGCGUCUGCUGUGAAAUCCCAGGGCUUAACCCUGGGCCUGCAGUGGGUACGGGCAAACUAGAGUGCGGUAGGGGAGAUCGGAAUUCCUGGUGUAGCGGUGAAAUGCGCAGAUAUCAGGAGGAACACCGGUGGCGAAGGCGGAUCUCUGGGCCGUAACUGACGCUGAGGCGCGAAAGCUAGGGGAGCAAACAGG
rnacentral:rRNA from 1 species